UUGACCCAGCUUGUAGGACUCUGGCUGCACUCUCGCCGGCGUCGUUUGUCCUCUUCCAAGAAAGUUUUCACUGGCACUGGAUCAACCAUGUCGCUGAAGCAUUUCCACGGCGGUUCCGUUCCUUCUGAGGUUGCUUUACCUUCUACUCCUGGACUGAACACAUUGUUUGGAGGUGCUUGUCCUCAGGAACUGCAAAUCACACCAUAAUGUUUAUAGAUGUAUGGAUCCUUAACAAACGAGGUUGUACAAUAUGUGGUGGAUGAUGAAAAUGUCUAUAAAUUGUACGUAAAGGGUCAACUAUCUCAAGAUUGAAGCACUGCCGGAUCGUUCAGUUCUAAUGGCUGGACACAGUCAAAGAUCUGAAAAUGUUUCCCCCCUUGAGAAGAGGAUAUGGAGGGACUAUCAGAGGAAAGAUCAUUGCAUGGACGGUGAUAAAAGAUGAUGUUCAAAGUAGAAACUGGUAGAAAGAGAACUGGAGGACUAGCAAUAAUGCUGAGAAGCUGUAGCAGCAGCAGCAACAACAGCACAAGCGCAAGGCUAUUGAAGUAUCAAAACCGGCCAGAUCCGUCAGGGAUCCGCCAUUCGAAAGCAGCUUCUGCUUAAUUUAGAGCUGGCCCAAGUCUUUCAAUCAGGCUCUGAUCCCAUGAUACCUGGUCAAAGGGGCAUGGCUGCAGGUAGUAACCAGAUACCUUUCUCACGAGUGACAGAUUCCAAUCUGCCUCAUUUGGCACAAAGCCGGCCCAAAGCAUCACAUCAAUUGUUACUAGAUUACCGGGAACUUUUGAUAUUGGAUUCUCCUGGAUGCCUGUUUUUUGUUUUUUGUUUUCCCUAAUUGAUAAGGGGAAAAAGGUUAUAAGGCCAGGGACGGCUGAAUAUGGCUGUUAUUGUAGUACCUUGAUGUCUAGUAUUGAGGCUUGAAAGGAUCAGAAUUCCUACAAUAUUGGUUUCUGGUAAUAUUGUAGUACUUUGAUGUCUAGUAUAUAUUGAGGCUUGAAAGGAUCAAAAUUCCUAUAAUUGGUUCCUCGAUUACCCGAAUUACAUGUAAUUCAGACAGCUAAUUAUAGGAGAUCCUCAA